AUGUCAUUCUGGCACGAACGUCUUCCCAAGGGGAACAAGUGCCCGACCAAUUUGGAGGAGGCGAAGAAAAUCGUGUGUCCUCUGGAUUUACCGCACGUGAAAUACCAUGUGUGCAUGAACAAUUGCGUCAUUUAUCGGGACGAGCACGCGGAGUCUACCAUAUGUCCGGUGUGCGGUGUCACUCGAUACAAGAAGAGGAAGAAAGCUCCUCGAAAAGUGGUGUGGUACUUUCCGAUCACUCCUCGUCUGCAGCGGUAUUUUGCGGAUCCUAAGGUAGCAAAGCUCCUGCGUUGGCACGCGGAUAGGGAGGAGAAGAAGCGAGAAGAUGACGCAAAUGAUCCGGAGAUAGAUAAAAAAGACAAGAUGCUGAGUCACCCUAAGGAUGCGAGCCAGUGGCAAGCGUUGAACUUCGAAUACCCAGAAUUUGGGAACGAUCCAAGGAACAUCGUGCUGGGCGCGAGCACCGAU
rnacentral:rRNA from 1 species